rnacentral:misc_RNA from 1 species
GAUGAAGAACGUAGCGAAUUGCGAUAAGUAAUGUGAAUUGCAGAAUUCAGUGAAUCAUCGAAUCUUUGAACGCACAUUGCGCCCCCUGGUAUUCCGGGGGGCAUGCCUGUCCGAGCGUCAUUACAACCCUCAAGCUCAGCUUGGUAUUGGGCCCCGCCGACCCGGCGGGCCCUAAAGUCAGUGGCGGUGCCGUCCGGCUCCGAGCGUAGUAAUUCUUCUCGCUCUGGAGGUCCGGUCGUGUGCUCGCCAGCAACCCCCAAUUUUUUUCAGGUUGACCUCGGAUCAGGUAGGGAUACCCGCUGAACUUAAGCAUAUCAAUAAGCGGAGGA